rnacentral:lncRNA from 1 species
UAAUUGUUUUGAAUACUUUGAAAGGCAAAGAAAAACCUAAGGAAUAUCUCCUAUAAAGAAAUCAAGAAAGACAUCAUCAUAAAGGCUAACCACCAAACCUUAAUAAACAAACAUCAAGGCUUGGAUCUGUGCAAGGAUUGAAUAUCAAGGCUUGAAUAGAAUAUCAUCCCAUAUACUAUGAAAAAACAAACAGCCAAACCUUGAUAAACAAACAUCAAUGCUUGGAUUUGUGCAAGGAUUGAAUAUCAAGGCUUGGAUAGAAUAUCAUCCCAUAUACUAUGAAAAAACAAACAGCCAAACCUUGAUAAACAAACAUAAGGCUUGGAUCUGUGCAAGGAUUGAAUAUCAUCCCAUAUACUAUGAAAAAACAAACAGCCAAACCUUGAUAAACAAACAUCAAGGCUUGGAUCUGUGCGGAUCUGUGCAAGGAUUGAAUAUCAAGGCUUGGAUAGAAUAUCAUCCCAUAUACUAUGAAAAAACAAACAGCGAAACCUUGAUAAACAAACAUCUAGGCUUGGAUCUGUGCAAGGAUUGAAUAUCAAGGCUUGGAUAGAAUAUCAUCCCAUAUACUAUGAAAAAACAAACAUCAUAAAGGCUUGGAUCUGUGCAAGGAUUGAAGGAAAAAUACAGAUUUACAAGAAAAUCACCCAACCUUGAUAACCACCAAACUUCAAUAAUCAAUUACAUGAAAAAUCAAAUCGGUUAUCAUCAAAAUUGUAUGAUUUUUUCGUAUAAUCUAUAUGGGUAGGGGUGUCGGAGAACAGUCCGAUCUUUUUUUUUCUAUUAUAGAGCAAAAGAUUUAAAACUAGAUCUAGAGGCCGGCAGAACUCAAAAGACAGGCCAGGCCCCAAGUCAUACAUCUUUUUAGAAUAGGCGGUCUCCUUUAUAUUCUCUGUACAUGGGUCCCAUUCACGUGAUGUGCACUUAUUGCGGUUCCCAAAUUGGACUUUCAAUCUCCACAAUGACAUCAUCGUCAUCACAGGUAGUACCGCAAUAUUCGUAAAUUAAAAAUCGAGAAUAUAAAGAUUUGGAUUAAAUAUAUUUGUAGCAAAAGUUUAACAACUCAAUAAUUUUUUUGAAGUGAUCAUGAAUUAGCUGGAUUUUUUUAAUAUUGUUUGAUAAUAAAUUGACGUGGGAUUCAAAUCUGACAUACUUUUACGUAAACGAGUCGAACCCAUCCGAAACGAACAAGAGUUGCUCCAAUUAAAUACUACUAUUAAAUUCAUACUUAAAUUUAAAUUGUAUUUAAAAAAUUCAACUCAAAUAUUUAUUAUUCGAAUUCGAUAGACUCUAAUCGAAUUAUAUUCAAACUACUUACGAGUUUCAAAGUCAAGUUUGAAUUCAAAUCUUCGCAUAAUAACUAGUUUUAUAAUAAAUAUAAUUAUAAAUUAAAUUUGUUAUUUUACUUAGAAUUGAGAAAAUAUAUUUAAUAUUACACUUUACAAAUAUAAA